rnacentral:rRNA from 1 species
UACGUAGGGUGCGAGCGUUGUCCGGAAUUAUUGGGCGUAAAGGGCUCGUAGGCGGUUUGUCGCGUCGGGAGUGAAAUCCACUGGCUUAACUGGUGGCUUGCUUUCGAUACGGGCAGACUGGAGGUAUGCAGGGGAGAACGGAAUUCCUGGUGUAGCGGUGAAAUGCGUAGAUAUCAGGAGGAACACCUGUGGCGAAAGCGGCUCACUGGACCAUAACUGACACUGAGGCACGAAAGCUAGGGGAGCAAACAGG